GGAUAGCUCAGUUGGUAGAGCAUAAGACUCUUGAUCUCAGAGUUGUGGGUUCGAGGCCCAUGGUGGGGCU